rnacentral:rRNA from 1 species
ACUCCUACGGGAGGCAGCAGUGGGGAAUAUUGCACAAUGGGCGCAAGCCUGAUGCAGCAACGCCGCGUGAGCGAUGAAGGCCUCGGUCGUAAAGCUCUGUCCUCAAGGAAGAAUAAAUGACGGUACUUGAGGAGGAAGCCCGGCUAACUACGUGCCAGCAGCCGCGGUAAUACGUAGGGGGCAAGCGUUAUCCGGAAUCACUGGGGCGUAAAGGGGUGCGUAGGCGGUUUUUCAAGUCAGAAGUGAAAGGCUAUGGCUCAACCAUAGUAAGCUUUUGAAACUGUUAAACUUGAGUGCAGGAGAGGAAAGUGGAAUUCCUAGUGUAGAGGUGAAAUUCGUAGAUAUUAGGAGGAACACCAGUGGCGAAGGCGACUUUCUGGACUGUAACUGACGCUGAGGCACGAAAGCGUGGGG